CGUCGCCAACCCCACGGCCGCACUGCUGGCGGCGUGCAUGAUGCUGGACCACCUGCGGUGGGCGGGGCUACGGGGAGGGGGCGGGGCUACGGGGAGGGGGCGGGGCUUAAGGCUAGGGGGCGGGGAUAAGGGGGUGGGGGCGGGGUCACGGGGAGGGGCGGGGCUAAGGGGGAAGGGGCAGGGUGUAAGGGAGAUGAUGCUGGACCACCUCUGGUGGGCGGGGCUAUGGGGAGGGGGCGGGGCUAAGGGGAUGGGGCGGGGCUACGGGGGAGGGGCCUAGGAAAGGGGUGGGGCAAAGGCGGGAGGUGGGUGGGGCCUGGGGUGGGUGUGGCCUCAGCCCUGGGGAAGGUCCAAGAGCACUGGGAGGGAGCCAAGGGGCGGGGCUUAUUCCUGUGGGCGUGGCUUACUCAAUGUGGGCGUGGCCUCCCGCUGCCCCUCCCCCAGGCUGCACAACCACGCCUCCACCAUCCGCCAGGCCGUCCUCGCCUCAUUGGACGACCCCCGGACACACACGCCCGACAUCGGGGGACAGGGCACGACCUCGGGGGCGGUGCAGAGCAUCCUGUCCCACCUCGGCCGCCCCUAGGGGCGUGGCCUCCGCUGGGAGGGGCCACCGAGGGCGUGGCCUCGAGGAGGCGUGGCCUCCCGGAGUGGGAGGGGCCGCUCAUUAAUAAAUUACCCCCAAUCAGCCCCGCCUCCAGCUGUGCCACGCCUUUAUUCACACACACACAAUUAAAAGGGGGCGGGGCCUAUUGGGGGCGGGGCCUCCCGGAGGGGGAGGAGCCACUUGCCCCACCCCAAUAAGCCCCGCCCCCAGCCGUGCCACAGCUUCAUUCACACACACACAGAGGGGGCGGAGCCUGUUAAUGGGCGUGGCCCCGAGGGGCGUGGCCUAUUAGGGGGUAGCCAAUGGGAGGAGGAGCUUUAAGCCCCGCCCCUUUACAACCCACCCCGAUAAGCCCCGCCCCCGCCUCACCACCCCUCCAUUCACCCCCAUGGUGCUGGGUAGGGGCAGAGCCCGUUG
rnacentral:lncRNA from 1 species